CAAUGCUUCAAAAAACGGGAGAAGACUAGUAUUUUGUUAUUUCAUAUGCCACUAUCGUUGACAAAAAGUUCAAGAUUGCUCGUUUCCCUUCCUUUUUGAUUUUGAUUGCAGCCAAUCAGAUGCUGAGUUUAACGUCACCUGCGUAGCGCACGCGCAACUCCUUAGAUGUCAGACAAGAAGUCGACUCUCAGUUGGACCUGUACCUAGAUUUGGUGGUGGAAAUGAACCAAUGAAGUUGACGUCAUGCCGUAAUGCCGCUCCGUCUAGAUAUAACCACGCCCACUUCAGUAUGACGAACACCUCAACGGCUGCGUCUCCAUGGAAACCGCGCUAACGCGGAUCUGGCGAAAUAUGACUGGUGGACUCGAUGAGGCCAUGACUAUUGACACGAUACCCAGUCCAGUGCCAGAGAGCCCAGCAGUGACUCCAUUCAUUCCAGCUUUGAAGCAGCACCAUGUCAACAGGCCCAGAAGGACCCAACCUUCAUGUUGAGGAUCAUCACUUGUGACGAGAGUUGGGUCUGUGGUUACGACCCAGGGACCAGGCAGCAGUCUUCUCAGUGGAGGAGACCGAAGAUGGCGCGUCAUGUUCAUCUUUUUCUUAGUCAUUCAUGCAGUUGUGAGUUCAUCCACCAGGGUCAGACUGUUAACCCCAAGUUGGACAAGGAGGACAUUCAGUGCAAAUGACCUGAACUGUGGUGCAGUGGCAAGUGGGCGCUCCAUUUAGUAGCUCCUUCACGUAUUUCAUACCGGGGGAAAAUUAGGAUAUGUUUUUAAUUUUAGUUCCAGGAUAAUUUGAUAAAACUAUGGAACAGCGAGUAAAUAAAUAUGUUAAUUCAGUGAAGCUGAAUUCUGUUAAUUAGUUUUUACAUAAUUAGUGCAGUUGCAGCCCAGCUUUCAUUUUUAAUGCAGGAUUUGAGCAAGUAAAUGUGUAUCUAAUCAAGGCGAAAAUGACAAAUGUCCUAUAAUGUUCCUUUAAAAGCCUUUUCAAUCCAAAACCUCUAUGACUGAUGAGAGAGGAAAUGCAGAUAUCAGAGGAAAACUAAACUGCUCUAACUGUCCAACAUAUGAUUCGUAGUAGAAGUACAUUAUUGACCUGAUGAUGUAUCCGUCCAACCCUGCUCUCUCCUCACUCUGCAUUCGCCUGGUGCCAAGGCGCUCAGGAUUUAGAACCACUACUGGUGUCCAUCUGCACACCGGAUUUAAAAUGUGGCUUCGCUGUGACCCGUCUGUUGUCCGAGGCCUCUGGAGACACAGAGAGAGGAGAGAACACGGUGCCAGGAAACACUCGCUCACUCUGACAGCCUCCGUCCUCCACAGUAAUGCUGCUUCUCUUGUGUGUAAAAUCAUUAUCAAGAGGUAUCGAGUGUUUAGUCAGGGCACUCAUGAGGAGGCAUUGAUCACCUGAUUUUGUCUGUGCUGGAGCAUGCAGUUAAAGUAAAUGAUGAUGAGAGUAAUUUUUUCAAUACUGUACCUUUGGUUUUAGUUGGAUUUAAAAGUGUGAUUGUAAGAUGCCAGUCAGGCUGCUAAUAUUUGUCUUUUUGCGUGCUAAAUUUAAUUUCAGGUCAGAUGUUUUGGGAUGAAAAUGUGUGUUUACAGAGCGGCAGGUCAGUGUUAUCAGCACAGAGAGUAUGACCUGUGAAAAAUGAUGAUGUACAUGAGAGAAUCUGUGCUGUGGACGAUCCUGCCUGUUGGUUUAAGGCAGCUUACGGGUGUCUGUUCCAGCCAAAUCCAUUUUUAUUCACCCUGUGGAUUAUAGGACUAGCUGGCAAGGCUGCCCUCAUGGUACCAAAGCCAAAAAAGGGCCAUGCAGGUGGAUACCCUGUGUGUCGAGCAUGGAAGAUAGCAGAAUAUGUUUGGUACCUUUCAAGUGCAUGGUUUAAAUUCUUAGAUAUCUUCACUGUUUGUAGCUAAAGGGCUGAGCUUUGGAUGAAGAGUCAGUGUUUGAAUGGUGUCAGGCUGACACUCUGAGCGUCCUUUAGAGGGCGCUGACACACUGGUGAUGGGAGCAGCUGUCUGGAUGGGUGCUGAGGACACACUUCUCAGCCACCGCAUGUGUGUGAAGUCUCAGGGCUGGUGCUAACAAGUGAUGCUCGCCUGCAGAGAGCGUCCUCAGUCAGACAGCACACAGUGAAAAAAGAAAGACUACAGUCUGAGAUCUAAUGUCUAAGUUUAGAUUUAAAUAUUGAGUCAGACUGUACAUGAUCUCAGUGGGCUGUCCCCUCAUUAGUUCAUGUGUUUCUAUGUGUCAUUAGAAACAAGCCAGGCCUAAAGCUUUUGCUUCUGUUGCUUCAAAACAGUCAGAUCAGCAUGAAGUAACUCCCUCCUUCACAAUGAAAUAUAUCACUGUCGAUGGUGCUGAUACAAUGGUUACAUGUAACCAAGACAGCAAGUAUUAAACUGUAUACUGUAGUCAAUGCACAUAAUGCUCAUAUUUGGAAAGAGAACAAAGCCUAAAGAAAUUUGAUUACAAUUCAUCAACAACCAACAUGUUUGAGAAUUGGAAUUGAUACCCUGUUGUCAGGAGCAGCAGUGUUGGGUUUAGUGAGACUGAGAGCACUAAAAGCCUCGCUGUGCAACAGAGAAACCCAGGUUUUAGGGUGUAAGCUGAGAUGGCGCUGGUCAAUACUUGGAGACGACAGAGAUAAAUUCAGCCUCCCUCUUGGGAUCUACAACAGCCAAGUUUGGCCUUUUACCUCGCUGUUUUUCCCCGUCUCAGUCACAGGAACACUUCUGAAAAUAGCUCAGAGCAAACCCAGAUAGAAAAGGGGACAGCGUGUUUGUAAAUGCCAGGAGUUUGAGCCAUGGCGAUGGCUGAGAUGACGUUUGGUAUGCCGUCUGUGAGGAUAUUAUUUUGGGUCAGAUGUGCCUCUCUGCCAUAUUGUCCAGUCAAGCAGGAAGGCCAGGCCACAGAGAGAGAGCAUAUGCCUGCCUUUCCCUCUGCUGCCGCCCCUGACAUGUGUUACUUCCUCCGCGCUCAGCCCACCUGCUCGGCCAAAGUCUAUAAGGCUAUGAACACCAGUCUACAGUAACAGUACAUAGGAUGUGUCAGUCUGCAGAGAUAUGUCAUCACAGUUAACAACUGGCAGCAGGAUUGCCAUUAUGUUACUGUCACAGUUUACUACUGUUUUUGUAAAAACUGCAAAAGUGGUUAUUUUUCAGCUUUUAAAGUAAAAUACUUA